rnacentral:rRNA from 1 species
CCUACGGGAGGCAGCAGUGAGGAAUAUUGGACAAUGGGCGCAAGCCUGAUCCAGCCAUGCCGCGUGCAGGAAGAAGCAUCUAUGGUGUGUAAACUGCUUUUGUACAGGAAGAAACACUCCCUCGUGAGGGAGCUUGACGGUACUGUAAGAAUAAGGACCGGCUAACUCCGUGCCAGCAGCCGCGGUAAUACGGAGGGUCCGAGCGUUAUCCGGAAUCAUUGGGUUUAAAGGGUCCGUAGGCGGUUUAAUAAGUCAGUGGUGAAAUCUGGUCGCUCAACGAUCAAACGGCCAUUGAUACUGUUAGACUUGAAUUAUAAGGAAGUAACUAGAAUAUGUAGUGUAGCGGUGAAAUGCUUAGAUAUUACAUGGAAUACCAAUUGCGAAGGCAGGUUACUACUUAUGGAUUGACGCUGAUGGACGAAAGCGUGGGGAGCGAACAGGAUUAGAUACCCUGGUAGUCCACGCCGUAAACGAUGGAUACUAGCUGUUCGGAGCAAUCUGAGUGGCUAAGCGAAAAGUGAUAAAGUAUCCCACCUGGGGAGUACGUUCGCAAGAAUGAAAACUCAAAAGGAAAUUGACGG